rnacentral:rRNA from 1 species
GACGAACGCUGGCGGCGUGCUUAACACAUGCAAGUCGAACGGAAAGGCCCUGCUUUCGUGGGGUGCUCGAGUGGCGAACGGGUGAGUAACACGUGAGUAACCUGCCCUUGACUUUGGGAUAACUUCAGGAAACUGGGGCUACUACCGGAUAGGAGCUCCUGCUCCAUGGUGGGGGUUGGAAAUUUUCGGCGGUUGGGGAUGGACUCGCGGCUUAUCAGCUUGUUGGUAGGGUAACGGCUUACCAAGGCAACGAUGCGUAGCUGACCUGAGAGGGUGAUCGGCCACACUGGAACUGAGACACGGUCCAGACUCCUACGGGAGGCAGCAGUAGGGAAUCUUCCGCAAUGGGCGAAAGCUUGACGGAGCAACGCCGCGUGAGUGAUGAAGGUCUUCGGAUCGUAAAACUCUGUUAUUGGGGAAGAACAAAUGUGGAAGUAAAUAUGCACGUCUUGACGGUACCUAAUCAGAAAGCAACGGCUAACUACGUG